UUUCCGUAGGUGAACCUGCGGAAGGAUCAUUACCGAGUUAGGGUCCCCCCUCGGGGGUGGCCCGACCUCCCAACCCUGUGUCUACUCAACUUGUACGUGUUGCUUCGGCGGACCGGCGCUCGUAAGACCGCCGCCGGGGGGCGUCUAAACCCCCCUGGAGAGCGUCCGUCGAUGGCCCAACCAAACUAUCGAAACCAAAAUGAUUGAACCCUCCAUUCUGAAUCAGACCAUUUUGAUAUACCAAUCAAAAACAAAACUUUCAACAACGGAUCUCUUGGUUCUGGCAUCGAUGAAGAACGCAGC
rnacentral:misc_RNA from 1 species